GGACGAACGCUGGCGGGCGUGCCUAAUACAUGCAAGUCGAACGCUUUUUCUUUCACCGGAGCUUGCUCCACCGAAAGAAAAAGAGUGGCGAACGGGUGAGUAACACGUGGGUAACCUGCCCAUCAGAAGGGGAUAACACUUGGAAACAGGUGCUAAUACCGUAUAACACUAUUUUCCGCAUGGAAGAAAGUUGAAAGGCGCUUUUGCGUCACUGAUGGAUGGACCCGCGGUGCAUUAGCUAGUUGGUGAGGUAACGGCUCACCAAGGCAACGAUGCAUAGCCGACCUGAGAGGGUGAUCGGCCACACUGGGACUGAGACACGGCCCAGACUCCUACGGGAGGCAGCAGUAGGGAAUCUUCGGCAAUGGACGAAAGUCUGACCGAGCAACGCCGCGUGAGUGAAGAAGGUUUUCGGAUCGUAAAACUCUGUUGUUAGAGAAGAACAAGGAUGAGAGUAAAAUGUUCAUCCCUUGACGGUAUCUAACCAGAAAGCCACGGCUAACUACGUGCCAGCAGCCGCGGUAAUACGUAGGUGGCAAGCGUUGUCCGGAUUUAUUGGGCGUAAAGCGAGCGCAGGCGGUUUCUUAAGUCUGAUGUGAAAGCCCCCGGCUCAACCGGGGAGGGUCAUUGGAAACUGGGAGACUUGAGUGCAGAAGAGGAGAGUGGAAUUCCAUGUGUAGCGGUGAAAUGCGUAGAUAUAUGGAGGAACACCAGUGGCGAAGGCGGCUCUC
rnacentral:rRNA from 1 species